AGAGUUUGAUCAUGGCUCAGAACGAACGCUGGCGGCAUGCCUAACACAUGCAAGUCGAACGGUAACAGGGUGCUUGCACCGCUGACGAGUGGCGAACGGGUGAGUAAUGCAUCGGAAUGUACCGUGUAAUGGGGGAUAGCUCGGCGAAAGCCGGAUUAAUACCGCAUACGCCCUGAGGGGGAAAGUGGGGGACCGAAAGGCCUCACGUUAUACGAGCAGCCGAUGUCUGAUUAGCUAGUUGGUGAAGUAAAGGCCCACCAAGGCGUCGAUCAGUAGCGGGUCUGAGAGGAUGAUCCGCCACACUGGGACUGAGACACGGCCCAGACUCCUACGGGAGGCAGCAGUGGGGAAUUUUGGACAAUGGGCGCAAGCCUGAUCCAGCCAUGCCGCGUGUCUGAAGAAGGCCUUCGGGUUGUAAAGGACUUUUGUCCGGGAGCAAAUCCUAGUGGUUAAUAACCGCUGGGUCUGAGAGUACCGGAAGAAUAAGCACCGGCUAACUACGUG
rnacentral:rRNA from 1 species